GGGUGGAACUGAACCAGCUGGCACACCACAGGGAGUUACAGAUGCACCACUGCUACUGUUCAUGCCAUCAUCAGGUAUGCUGUCACGAUUAGCCCACCAUAGUUUGAUAAAGCGAUUGCCCAUUACAGCAUCAGGUGCUCUUAAAGCAGCUUCUGCCUCUUCCCUUUUUGAGAACUGAACAAAAGCUCGUUCGCUAUUCAAUGGGAUAUAAAUGUCAACAACCUCCCCAAAUUUUUGAAAAUGAGAAAGAAGAGCAUCCCUCUUGUUGUUUUUUUGUGGAAUGCCACUGACAAAUAGUGUACGUAGUGCCUUUUGAGAAGAUUUCCUUAUAUUACGCAUGGUAUCACUCUGUAUCCUGGCUGCUGAAUCAAUAGUUCUGGGGCCAACAUCGUCAGUAAUCAUUCGCUUUCCUUGACAAGUAGUACCUUGAAUAUUGGCUAAUGCUUCAUGAUCUUCUUUUGCUUCAUUAUUCCCAUGAUCUGAGGUAUUCAUAAUCAAAUCCGUUUUCUCUUUCAUAUCUAAUCUAUUCUUCACACUACCAACUCUACCCCAAACGGAUGAACCUGUACUCUGUGAACCAACAGGGAUCCCAGUGCUUCUAAUUGAACAUUCAUUGUCAGUAGUAUCACGCAACCUGACAUUAUGACGGUCAGAAGGAUCAACACUCAUGAAGGAUUCAUUUUCAUCAUUUUUGGAUGAAUUUAGUGCUAAGAGUGCACUUGAUGUUUCAGGACCAUUGUUAUUCCACAGUGGUUGGUCUGGAUCAUACAAGUCUGCUCCACUCACACUAGCAGA
rnacentral:misc_RNA from 1 species